rnacentral:rRNA from 1 species
UAAGGAAUAUUGGUCAAUGGACGCAAGUCUGAACCAGCCAUGCCGCGUGAAGGAUGAAGGCCCUCUGGAUUGUAAACUUCUUUUAUCUGGGACGAAAACGGGAUUUUUAUCUCAAUUGACGGUACCAGAGGAAUAAGCACCGGCUAACUCCGUGCCAGCAGCCGCGGUAAUACGGAGGGUGCGAGCGUUAUCCGGAUUUACUGGGUUUAAAGGGUGCGUAGGUGGGCUUAUAAGUCAGUGGUGAAAUCUCCGAGCUUAACUUGGAAACUGCCGUUGAUACUAUAGCUCUUGAAUUAUCUGGAGGUAAGCGGAAUAUGUCAUGUAGCGGUGAAAUGCUUAGAUAUGACAUAGAACACCAAUUGCGAAGGCAGCUUACUACAUAUAAAUUGACGCUGAGGCACGAAAGCGUGGGGAUCAAACA